rnacentral:rRNA from 1 species
GACGAACGCUGGCGGCGUGCUUAACACAUGCAAGUCGAACGGAAAGGCCUCUUUCGGGGGGUACUCGAGUGGCGAACGGGUGAGUAACACGUGAGUAACCUGCCCUUGACUUUGGGAUAACUUCAGGAAACUGGGGCUAAUACCGGAUAGGAGCUCCUGCUGCAUGGUGGGGGUUGGAAAGUUUCGGCGGUUGGGGAUGGACUCGCGGCUUAUCAGCUUGUUGGUGGGGUAGUGGCUUACCAAGGCUUUGACGGGUAGCCGGCCUGAGAGGGUGACCGGCCACAUUGGGACUGAGAGACGGCCCAGACUCCUACGGGAGGAAGCAGUGGGGAAUAUUGCACAAUGGGUGGAAGCCUGAUGCAGCAACGCCGUGUGCGGGAUGACGGCCUUCGGGUUGUAAACCGCUUUCGCUCAUGACGAAGCUUUGUGUGACGGUAGUGGGUAAAGAAGCACCGGCUAACUACGUG